AUUUGUCUCAUUGAUUUGUGUUGGGUUGGGGAUCUACAGGGCUGGGCUACUUAUGUCAGUGAGCUGGGAUGGAUUCUGGGAUCUCAUCUGAUUCAGGUGUAGGAAGCCUCUUCCAGCUUAACAUACAAAGAAAAAAACCUGUUGCAAAGCAAGGUUGAAAUGAGAUGCCACCAAGUCAAGCAGCUCCUUAGCCAAAAGCUUUGGCUGAAAAACAAGAAUGAAAGAAAGUGAUUAAUGAGGAGAAUUGGAUAGAACUGCACUGUGCUUGAGAAGGAAAACGCUAUCCUUGAAACUAUUCCACAGCUGUUGCUUUUAUGUUCCCUCUGGUGUUCAAGCUAAAUCUGCAAGGAACAUUAGCUCCUUGAAAUGAGCAGUAGUUUCCCUCCUAGGUAAAUACUAAAAAUCUGGCAAUUCUGACCUAUUCAGCACUUAAUGUCUCUGCAGACAGAUGAUCUGCUGCCUGCCAGUGCUCGGAUCUACCAGGACCAGCCCACUCCUGCCUCUCUGAUAAUUUUAGUUGUUAAAGCUUUUUAUCAAGGGCCCUUGCAAACACAAUUCAGACACCCACUCUCUCACACACAGCAUAGAUACAUGCUCAUAACACUAAGAAAAUACACAGUGCCAAAAGAUAGGAUGUGACGGGACCAAAUGAGAAGUAAAUGACAGAACAAAAUAGUUUCCCAUUCACUGUUGCUUGUCACAUAGAGAUAAGGAUACAUCCUCAAAUUUAGGCACUUGGAAGGAAAGACAGGAAAGUAGCACACACUUUCAAGAUAUUCUCUGUAAGACAAUAAAAGACAAUCUCAGAGAAACAGAGGAUGGUUCCUUGCUACCUUUUCUGCAAAACCUUAUUUGUCUUUCAACUCUAAUGUGUUCUCCUGCCUCUAUGAAUUUUCCUCUGCUCUGCUGGCCUCCGUUUUUUGCAAGCAGAUUUCUGAAGCCUUGGCAAUAGUACAGC